rnacentral:rRNA from 2 species
ACGGGAGGCAGCAGUGGGGAAUAUUGCACAAUGGGCGAAAGCCUGAUGCAGCAACGCCGCGUGAGGGAUGACGGUUUUCGGAUUGUAAACCUCUGUCUUUGGUGAAGAAUAAUGACAUUAGCCGAGGAGGAAGCCACGGCUAACUACGUGCCAGCAGCCGCGGUAAUACGUAGGUGGCAAGCGUUAUCCGGAAUUACUGGGUGUAAAGGGAGCGCAGGCGGGAGAGCAAGUCAGCGGUGAAAUGUAUGGGCUUAACCCAUGAACUGCCGUUGAAACUGUUUUUCUUGAGUGGAGUAGAGGCAAGCGGAAUUCCGAGUGUAGCGGUGAAAUGCGUAGAUAUUCGGAGGAACACCAGUGGCGAAGGCGGCUUGCUGGGCUCUAACUGACGCUGAGGCUCGAAAGUGUGGGGAGCAAACAGGAUUAGAUACCCUGGUA